ACGGCAGAUGCCGAAGGAAUUACAGCAUAGGGUGCCCGAGGUCGCAGGUUCGAGUCCUGCCCCCGUCUCCAUUAUGGCGGGGUAGCGCAGACGGUUAGCGCGCGGUACAUGAUUUCUUUAUUUCUUGCUGUCGGGUG
rnacentral:Y_RNA from 1 species